CUGGAGAAAGACAAGCAUACACUUAGCUUUGAACUUAUUAUACAAUAUAGAAAGGUGUGUAGAUGCUGAAUUUCUGAAGUACUAACCAGGAUAUAUUUUGGUCCUCUGGAGACAGAUGCUUCCAGAAACAACCUUCCCUACAGAAGUCCAGCCUGGCCUUGAACAUCUCCAGGGAUGGAGC